AUACUUACCUGGCAGGGGAGAUACCAUGAUCACGAAGGUGGUUUUCCCAGGGCGAGGCUUACCCAUUGCACGCUGGGUGUGCUGACCCCUGCGAUUUCCCCAAAUGUGAGAAACUCGACUGCAUAAUUUAGACGACGACAUGGGGUUUGGCUUGUUCGACU
rnacentral:snRNA from 1 species